rnacentral:rRNA from 1 species
GAUGAACGCUGACAGAAUGCUUAACACAUGCAAGUCUACUUGAUCCUUCGGGUGAUGGUGGCGGACGGGUGAGUAACGCGUAAAGAACUUGCCCUGCAGUCUGGGACAACAUUUGGAAACGAAUGCUAAUACCGGAUAUUAUGCGAGUCUCGCAUGAGGUUCGUAUGAAAGCUAUAUGCGCUGCAGGAGAGCUUUGCGUCCUAUUAGCUAGUUGGUGAGGUAACGGCUCACCAAGGCGAUGAUAGGUAGCCGGCCUGAGAGGGUGAACGGCCACAAGGGGACUGAGACACGGCCCUUACUCCUACGGGAGGCAGCAGUGGGGAAUAUUGGACAAUGGACCAAAAGUCUGAUCCAGAAAUUCUGUGUGCACGAUGAAGUUUUUCGGAAUGUAAAGUGCUUUCAGUUGGGACGAAGAAAGUGACGGUACCAACAGAAGAAGCGACGGCUAAAUACGUGCCAGCAGCCGCGGUAAUACGUAUGUCGCAAGCGUUAUCCGGAUUUAUUGGGCGUAAAGCGCGUCUAGGCGGUUUGGUAAGUCUGAUGUGAAAAUGCGGGGCUCAACUCCGUACUGCGUUGGAAACUGCCAAACUAGAGUACUGGAGAGGUGGGCGGAACUACAAGUGUAGAGGUGAAAUUCGUAGAUAUUUGUAGGAAUGCCGAUGGGGAAGCCAGCCCACUGGACAGAUACUGACGCUAAAGCGCGAAAGCGUGGGUAGCAAACAGGAUUAGAUACCCUGGUAGUCC